rnacentral:rRNA from 1 species
UGGGGAAUAUUGGACAAUGGGGGGAACCCUGAUCCAGCCAUGCCGCGUGUGUGAAGAAGGCCUUAUGGUUGUAAAGCACUUUAAGCGAGGAGGAGGGUACUGGUAUUAAUACUACCAGGUACUGGACGUUACUCGCAGAAUAAGCACCGGCUAACUCUGUGUCAGCAGCCGCGGUAAUACAGAGGGUGCGAGCGUUAAUCGGAUUUACUGGGCGUAAAGCGUGCGUAGGCGGCUAAUUGAGUCGGAUGUGAAAUCCCCGAGCUUAACUUGGGAAUUGCAUUCGAUACUGGUUAGCUAGAGUGUGGGAGAGGAUGGUAGAAUUCCAGGUGUAGCGGUGAAAUGCGUAGAGAUCUGGAGGAAUACCGAUGGCGAAGGCAGCCAUCUGGCCUAACACUGACGCUGAGGUACGAAAGCAUGGGGAGCAAACAGG